GCGUGACUCAGUUUCCUCACCUGUAAGGAGUCCUGAUAGUAGUAGUACCUGCCUCCUAAGGGUCGUCACCCGCCGCAAGCGAGGGCUGGGUCGUUAACAGCUGGUGAAAACGGACACCAAAAAACUGGGUUGCUGCGUGCAAUGUGGAGGCAGAGAGAUGGACAGAGGAAGUGGGACCACAGUCUUUGCUGAAGGAUGCAGACCUCGCUAACUGCGUAACACUUGGUCUUAGAUGGAUCUCCAAGGCUCCUUGUAGCUCACAACUGGUCUUAUUUGCGCAUACACCCUUUAAAAUAAUACUUCCCUUUGCUUAUCCAUUUAAACCAGAUUUGCAAAGGCUAGUGUUUAAUAAGCCCAAUCCAAAACGGAUAUAUGAAUUGGAGUGAAAAACAGAUCAAGAGUUGGCAGGACAUGGGAAACUUUCCCAACACCCAAACACUUCUCCAGAACUUCUGGAAUGCCCCAAUUAGCAAUUACCCAGAUUGAGAUAUCUGUAUUUCUUUCUUUUUUUUUUUUUUUUGAGAUUUUAUUUAUUCAUGAGAGACACAGAGAGGCAAGACAUUGGCAGAGGGAGAAGCAGGCUCCCCACGGGGAGCCCUAUAGCAGACUCGAUUCCAGGACCCCGGGAUCAUGGUCUGAGCCAAAGGCAGAUGCUCAACCACUGAGCCACCCAGGUGCCCCGAGAUAUUUGAAUAUCUGAAAGGCAAGAGCCCCCACUCCUACAGCUGUGUAGCCCAGCUGGACCAGCAGUUUUCUUUGCACAUAGUAGGCCCUCAAUAUUUAUUGAAUUAAAUGGCCAUGUUUGUGGCUGAGUGCUCAACAUUUAAGGAGUCGUUGGGAACCACAGAUGAUGUUACUCAAGGGACAUCACUGCAGACAUCAUUAACAGGAACCCCCAAGUCACUAGUUAAGGAGUUAAUGGGAUUUUGGAAUGAACAACCCUGGCCACAGGCUUAUUUGGAAAAAUAAAGUGGAAAUUUCAGAUACAUUUUUUCCAUAACUUAUAUGGGUAAUCUUUUAAAACUUUAUUUUGGACCUAAUGAUGAGUAACACUGAUUCAAUUUUAUGCUUCAGUGAUAGUCCUCUGACUCUAUAGUACAGUUAAAGCUCCAAAGUCCCCACAUUUUCCCCCAAAUCCAAGUGUCACCAGUGAGUUAUGUCACUUCAGUAUAAAACCAGUAUUUGUUCUUAGGUAUAACUUUAGGGGCUUGCCAUAAUUUUUGUAUUUUUAAGCAUCUUGGAGGUAUUGUUAAAUGGCAAACACAGAUUUCUGUCACCAGUGUAGGGCUUUACUCUGGGGUAGGCAUGCAAAUUCACUUAUCUAGCAUACGAUAAACAGAACUUGUGUCAGUGAUUAUCAUGGAAAUAAAGAUAGAACCAUUUUUCCUCUAAAUUGGGGAUGGGCAAACUUUUUCUUAAAGGGGAAACAUAGUAAACAUGAAGGCAACUGUAGACAAUAUAUAACAGGAUGAAUGUGCCUCAAUUCCACUAAAAACUUACUUAUGGCAAUAAAUGGGUUUGAACCACAAGGCACUAUUUUGCUGAUUGAUCCCUCAGUAAUUGUAUUUAUAUUAAAUUCAUUCCAUUUUUUUUUAAUUUUUAUUUAUUUAUGAUAGUCACACACAGAGAGAGAGGCAGAGACACAGAGGGAGAAACAGGCUCCAUGCACCGGAAGCCCGACGUGGGAUUUGAUCCCGGGUCUCCAGGAUCGCGCCCUGGGCCAAAGGCAGGCGCUAAACUGCUGCGCCACCCAGGGAUCCCUAAAUUCAUUCCAUUUUUAUAUUCACUCCAAUGUGAAUUGCCAGAUAUUAAAAUACAAAGGGUAAAAGCUUGAUAUCAAUAAAGCACCAAAAAGUCAAAAGUC